GACGAACGCUGGCGGCGUGCCUAAUACGUGCAAGUCGAGCGGACUUGACGGAGCUUGCUCUGUUCAAGUUAGCGGCGGACGGGUGAGUAACACGUGGGCAACCUGCCCUGCAGAUUGGGAUAACUCCGGGAAACCGGGGCUAAUACCGAAUAACAUUGAAAACCUCAUGGUUUUCUUUUAAAAGGCGGCUUCGGCUGUCACUGCAGGAUGGGCCCGCGGCGCAUUAGCUAGUUGGUGAGGUAACGGCUCACCAAGGCGACGAUGCGUAGCCGACCUGAGAGGGUGAUCGGCCACACUGGGACUGAGACACGGCCCAGACUCCUACGGGAGGCAGCAGUAGGGAAUCUUCCGCAAUGGACGAAAGUCUGACGGAGCAACGCCGCGUGAGUGAAGAAGGUUUUCGGAUCGUAAAACUCUGUUGUUAGGGAAGAACAAGUACCGGAGUAACUGCCGGUACCUUGACGGUACCUAACCAGAAAGCCACGGCUAACUACGUGCCAGCAGCCGCUGUAACAC
rnacentral:rRNA from 1 species